rnacentral:rRNA from 1 species
UACGGGGGGGGGCAAGCGUUGUUCGGAAUUACUGGGCGUAAAGGGCUCGUGGGCGGCCAACUAAGUCCGACGUGAAAUCCCCAGGCUCAACCUGGGAACUGCGUCGGAUACUGGAUGGCUUGAAUUCGGGAGAGGGAUGCAGAAUUCCAGGUGUAGCGGUGAAAUGCGUAGAUAUCUGGAGGAAUACCGGUGGCGAAGGCGGCAUCCUGGACCGACAUUGACGCUGAGGUGCGAAAGCGUGGGGAGCAAACGGG